rnacentral:rRNA from 1 species
AGCGAACGUUAGCGGCGGGCUUAACACAUGCAAGUCGAGCGAGAAAGGGGCUUCGGCCCUGAGUAAAGCGGCGGACGGGUGAGUAACACGUAGGUAAUCUUCCUUCGAGCGGGGGACAACGAGGCGAAAGCCUCGCUAAUACCGCAUAAGUUCCCAGAGACUCCGGUCUUUGGGAGGAAAGCUAGGUAGCAAUAUCCGGCACUCGAUGAGGAGCCUGCGUCGCAUCAGCUAGUUGGGNGGGGUAACGGCCUACCAAGGCGAAGACGCGUAGCUGGUCUGAGAGGAUGAUCAGCCACACUGGGACUGAGACACGGCCCCAGACUCCUACGGGAGGCAGCAGUGGGGGAAUAAUUGGACAAUGGGCGCAAGCCUGAUCCAG